CAUUAGAUGGCUGAAAGCAAGCACUGGUCUCUUAAACCACAUUAUAGUAAAUUAGCACUUACUUCUGAUGA
rnacentral:tRNA from 1 species